rnacentral:pre_miRNA from 2 species
UCAUGAUGAUGGUGAUCAUGCCCGUGAUCAUGGUCGUGGUGGCAAUGGCCAUGGUCAUGGUCGCAAUGGCCGUGAUCAUGGUCAUGAUGGUGGUCG